rnacentral:rRNA from 1 species
UACGUAGGCGGGAAAUUAAGUCAGUAGUGAAAUCCCACAGCUUAACUGUGGAACUGUUAUUGAUACUGGUUUUCUUGAAUAUAGUUGAGGUAGGCGGAAUGUGUAAUGUAGCGGUGAAAUGCUUAGAUAUUACACAGAACACCGAUUGCGAAGGCAGCUUACUAAGCUAUGAUUGACGCUGAGGUACGAAAGCGUGGGGAGUGAACAGGAUUAGAUACCCUGGUAGUCC